rnacentral:tRNA from 1 species
ACUUAUAUAGCUUAUAGAAAGCGCUACAUUGAAGCUGUAGAGAAGGUAGUUACCGACCUUUAAGUG